rnacentral:misc_RNA from 1 species
GAGCAGCCCCUUGUACCUGUAGAU